GGAGCAUAUUUGUUUCUCUCUACCUAAUUUCUCCAGAAUUUGGAAACUAUUUGUUAGUAUUCUCAAUUUAUAGUGGUAUAGUUAAUUGCAUAAGUGCAAUAAGAAUCUGUUUUCUUUUGUAACACGACACAAUUAGAAAAAUUGGUUAUUUUACCAAGGCUUUGACUAGAAUGGCAUGCUUUAUUUAAAGAAUCGAAGUUGACUUAUAGAGCCAAUUAAAGCCUCUUAGGAAAUCUGGCCUCAUACCUUGUCCACACAGAGUCCCUGUACAAGGUUCCUGACCUGUGGUAAGUAAAGCAUGUCACUUUCUAACAGGUCCAGGAGCCCCAAGUUAUCUUGGGACCUCAAGAGGAGAGAAAUUUACCCAACUCAUAGGUAAUUUAAGGGUACAGACCCAUGGCUGGGCUCAGCUUUUAAAAAGUCUUGUCUGAGAUUCCCUGCGGAACAGAGUUCCAACAAAGCCAAUUAAAUAUGAAAAAUAAUUAUUCCUGCUUACUUUAUACAAACAAUCAGG
rnacentral:lncRNA from 10 species